rnacentral:tRNA from 1 species
CAAAGCGUAGCUUAACCAAAGCAUCUCGCUUACACCGAGAACAUGUCUGUUAAAACCAGAUCGCCUUGA